UGUGUGUGUGUGGGUGUGUGUGGGGGUGAUAGAUUCUGUAGGAGGACAGCCGAGGAUACACCCCCUCUGUGUGUGGCUGGUGACAGAGAUUUCCCUGACAUGUUUGUGUUCUGUGGUGUACAAAGAUGUCUACCUCCUUGACCUGUGUACAGAAUGUCACACCAAACAGCAUCUAACUCGGAUUUCUCCUCAUUCAAACUAGACGCUUGUAUUGUGUGCACGCUUUAGCUGCAAAACUUACACCCAAAUAAGAACCAAAAAAAACCACCAAACAAUAAAACCCAACAGAUUGCUAUGACUCGUGUGUGCACGCCAUUGACAUAGACCUACUUCUAUUUGGCCCACGAGUGUGUGAGCCUGUGUGCGCCGGCGUGUGUUGUGUUUCUUGGUUGCUAUGGCGACAGAGAUGCUGGUGAGUUCCGUAUCCUGUACCGACCUGCGAGAAACAAAGACCUGCACUGUGCUCAGGCCCACGCAGAUUUCUCUCGUUCUCUCCCACUGGGACUCCUUUUACAAGACCUGCAUCAUAGAAUGAAAUACCACAAAGCUAUAGGUGAUAUCUAUUGGGACUAUGCAGGGGACAGGCUAGUUAUUGGUGACUUGUUGGCUGAUCUAGGGUAUGCAGGUGAGUGAAACAGGCAGACAGACAGACAGACAGACAGACAAACAAACAGACAGACAGACAGACAGACAGACAGACAGACA